CUGAUAUUGAAGGUGACCCGCCUUUCGCAAAGCGUCUAAAAAGGGUUCCUUCUGAUGUUUUACAAGAUGUGAACAGUGUUGAGGAACUUUCUUUUCAUAAUAAUUCAGUACCAAAUAGUCUAGAUUCAGCACAGAAGAUCUCAUUUGUCAUGAGAGAUGCUCUGAUCAAUAUUGGUCCUCUGAAGGAUUUUGCAUAUGGUUUAAGAACUAAUUCGGAUCCCAAUGCGGCAGGCAUUGCAAAACAAAGCAAUUAUGAGUUGGUGUGUUGUUCUGGUCAUGGAAAGAAUGGAACACUGUCGGCCCUUCAACAAUCUAUUCGCCCAGAUUUAAUUACCGAGGUG